GGUACUGUAUAAAUAAAAUAAAAUUGAAUUGAAUCUAUGACAUCCCCAUUUGAGGAGGAGGAUGUCAUCAUUUACAUACAGUUUGACAUAUUUUCUUUUUCUUUUUUUUGGAUUAAAACUGUAAACUGAACAAGCCAUAGAAAGUGGCAGCAAAAUUUAUGGUGAGUCAAAAAAACAAAACACCACUGCUCUUAGCCUCUGCUACUCAUUUAACUUCUGUUUUUAUUUCAUUGUAAAGAAAUAAGUAUCACAAAGGAAAAAUCAUUCAUUGGUUUCAGGUUGGGUUUCAUCAGUGUUAUCAACUAAAAAUACUGUCUCUCACGCUUUGUCAGAAACACUAACAACUGUCAGUUCGCAGUAACAGGAACAUAGAGUAUGAAGGAAACCAGCAGUGAGCUCUUGGGACUACAGUAAGACUAAAUGUCAUUCAGUAUAUUUACCCCUGACAGGAUGAGCACAACAUGCUAAGUUGUCAGAAUUCGGUACAGACGUUAAUAAAAAUGCACAUAUAAUUCUUGUAACACUGGGUUGUCCAUUUAUAAAACAAACAAUAUGAAAUAACACUUGACACUUUUGACCGAGUCCAUAAACUCCAGGAAAGUCCACCAGACAACAAAGUGUUCACUGAGGUCACAGGUCAAGGCAGCACAGGGCUGUUUGCCCAUAGACACCUACAAGUAACCUUAUUGAAACCACAGGAGUUUCCCCCUGCUGGGCAUUAGAAGUACUGCAAGUUUAGCCACUUCUGCAGUAGCUUCACCUCUCUGAACCAGAAGCUAGCUCGUUUAUAUGCAAUCUGUGAUUUUUCCACCUAGAUUAAAUAUCAUUGGAUGACUCUCUGGUGUCCAGUGAGGAGGCGCCUGUGCUCAGCAGGGGUUUCUUCUCUCGAGAGAGAAAGAGGUUGUUGUAUUUCUGCCAGAAGACUCCAGUGUGCUGAACAGCCUGUGGCCAACUCAACCCCUGCAUUCUCCUCUAUGCUUCCUUGCUCCCUCCUCUUGUAAUUUAUUCAUUGGUGCCUCCUCUGGUAGAGCAGUGAGGAGAAAGAAGCGGGGAACCAGAUGAAGACUUUUUCUCCACUUUGGGAGUCUGCAGCGAUGGACUGUCGAACAUUUACCAUGCCUUUGUCAACCAACACUGAUGUAUGUGGAUCCUAAACAGGUAUGAAGGAAAUAUAUUACAUGCCUGCAGUAAUAUUCCAGUGACA
rnacentral:lncRNA from 1 species